rnacentral:rRNA from 1 species
CCUACGGGUGGCUGCAGUGAGGAAUAUUGGUCAAUGGACGAGAGUCUGAACCAGCCAAGCAGCGUGAAGGAUGACUGCCCUCUGGGUUGUAAACUUCUUUUAUAUGGGAAUAAAAUGUUCCACGUGUGGGAUUUUGUAUGUACCUUAUGAAUAAGGAUCGGCUAACUCCGUGCCAGCAGCCGCGGUAAUACGGAGGAUCCGAGCGUUAUCCGGAUUUAUUGGGUUUAAAGGGAACGUAGGUGGAUGGUUGAGUCAGUUGUGAAAGUUUGGGGCUCAACCGGAAAAUUGCAGUUGAUACUGGCAGUCUUGAGUACAGUAGAGGUGGGCGGAAUUCGAGGUGUAGCGGUGAAAUGCGUAGAUAUGACGAAGAACUCCGAUUGCGAAGGCAGUUCACUGGACUGCAACUGACACUGAGGCUCGAAAGUGUGGGUAGCAAACAGGAUUAGAUACCCCGGUAGUC